ACGAAGUUANCCGGGGCUUCUUCUACGGUUACCGUCAUUAUCUUCACCGUUGAAAGAGCUUUACAACCCUAGGGCCGUCAUCACUCACGCGGCAUGGCUGGAUCAGGCUUGCGCCCAUUGUCCAAUAUUCCCC
rnacentral:rRNA from 1 species